CCUGGGAGAGCUCUGGGAAGCGCGAGCAUCUCCGCAUUGGUCGGCACCUCUUGGAGGCGGUGAUGCUGUCUUUCCGUUUUAAACGCACGUUUCCUGGACUCAGGCGAUUCCGCGUUUUGGGAUCUGGUGGCGCUGCGAGUACACAUACUUCGAGUUCUGACACCAGGACUUUAAUUUCUUCAGCUGUUUUGAUGUUAUCUUACACAAAGCAUACUGAGCUUGUUGCUGGAGCAGAGGUGUGUCCAAGUGCAAGCAUUGCAGCAUUGUAGUGAAGAGUCUCAGGUCCCAGCCUAUCUUACUGCCAACACCUUGAUUUAGCCCAGGAAGACCUCUGUCAGACCUCUGACCUUCAGAAGUGUAAGAUAAUAAAUGUGUGUGGUUUUAAGCCACCAAGUUUGUAGUAAUUUGUUACAGCAGCACAGAAAACUAACACAACAUGAGAACUUAGCAGGUAACAGAUCGGUUAACAAACCAGUGGGCAAAGGAUGCUAACUCUACACUUCAGUGUAAAACUUCUAGAGUCUUCCUUUCUAUGUUUAAUAAUCAAUUUAGAAUUUAUUUUAAAUAUACUGUGUGACAGCAAUCUUUUUUUCUAUUCUUGUAUAGCUAUCUGACUGUUACUACACAAUUUAUUGAGAAGUUUCUCUUCCACAGUAUUUUCCUCCAAUAUUUUAUUAUGAAAAUUUUCAAGCAUACAGAAAAGUUGAGAGAAUUUUAUAGUGAGCACUGACAUUCCAAACUUAAGAUUUUACCCAGUGUGUUGAACUUGUGCCGAUGGUGCUAAAGAAAUAGGAAUACAAUUGUGGGCACUCAGCGCACAUCAAGGAUGUGGCACCAAAGUCUGUUUAUUAGUUGCCAUCGUAUUCUUCAUCACUACACUCCCAGUCAAAAAAAGGAAAAGGACAAAUUUCACUUCUGGAUGUCCUUGACGGAGCAGUGAAAAAUACUUUUUUAUUAUAAAAAUCUCAAAUCUUGAGUCCAUAUCUUUUUAGUAUCUUUUAAACAAAUAUCCUGUGCUGCAUCCUGAAGUUCCAUAGUUGUCUCCCCAAAAAGCACUGGUGUGAUUAUUUGAGUUGGGAGCUGAACUCUGCAUGAAAAAAGAACUGAAAGAUAAGAUGUGGGGAUGUGGAAGACAUCUCAACAAUCAACCAAGUGAGUUGUCAUUCAAAAGAAACAAGGAACAACAUUUUUUGCCAACAUAAAACUAGAGUGUUCAAAUGAAAACAGAAUUUUGGAAAUCUUGUAUCUGUUACUGUGAACUUCACAGAUUCCCAACACUUAAAGUCAAUGAUGAUAUUUACCAGCUUUCACCAGUAUCCACCAGCUUUCAUACUGUAGAAUGCAAGUGUCAACAUUUGGAAGAUCUGCAUUAGAAAGUGAAAGGAUAUUUUCCAAAUGACCAAUGCAUGAUAUUACAAAGUCAUGCUUAAUAAAAUUAUCCAUUCAAAGAGCAAACCAGACCAAUGAGUUUUAAUAUAAUAGAGUAGAAAAAGUUCACUUAACUGGUUACAAAUGGUACACUGCAACUGACCUAUUCCUUGUCUACCUUUUUCUGAGAAGAAUAUGCACAAUCAUUUAAGUAUAUUAAAAUAUUCUGUCCUUUUCCAAGGACAUACCUAUGUGAAGCCAGAUUUGUUUAUAUACUUCCAGAAGCACAUAUAAGAAUCCAGCUGUUUUACGUUAAGCUAGACAUUUAAAAGAUUCUCCCAUCCCCAUCCCCAAAGGAAAAACUGCCACUCCCAAGUUUCUGGAAAAUUAAUUUUCAUAAAAAUUUCACUCAGGGAGGGAACAUGGGUUAACUUAUGGCUGACACAUGUUGAUGUUUGGUAGAAACCAACACAAUACUGUAAAGCAAUUAUCUUUCAAUUAAAGAUUAAUUUAAAAAAUUCACUUAUACAACAGAAGGAAUCUUUUCAUUAUUAAAGUAUAUAUUAGGCUCUUACUGAGAGGGUAACAGGCAGGAAGGCCAGGGGUCUCCAAACGGAGGAAAUAGGCUGCAAGUGCCAGACAUUUUUAUCUCUCUUAAGAGGCAGGAGGAAACAAACCAG